rnacentral:lncRNA from 1 species
AUGGUUAUAGAAAAUGAAACCAACGUUGUUAGUACUAUUACAAAUGAAAAAUAUGUUAAAGAAAAUUUUCAUCAUAAUAUAAAGAAAAAUCACCCAAACGAUGAAAAAGAGGAAAGCAUUUUUGUUAAUAACAAUAAAGGAGAGGUACUAAUAAAUGAACAUAACAAGGUGUUACAAUUUAAAGAUUUAUAUGAAAAUUUGUUGAUAAAACUUUUACUAUUUUAUGUUUUUUUUUAUUUUAGUGACCAUUAUUUUUGUAUAAUAAUUUUUUUAAAUUUUUGUAACUUGAUGAAGGACAAUGAAAGGAAUAAUGAAAGAUAUAAUGGAAGGAAUAACAACAAAAUAACAGAAACAAUUAAUUAUUUAUUUUUUAUUUUGUUAGACAGCUUACAUCAUGUAAGAGAGUAUACCAAAAUCAUAGUUCUUUUAAAUUUGUAUAAAGAAAACUUUCUUCCUUUUGCUGAUAAAGAUUUAAGUCAUGUAAAAAAAGUUGUUAAUUCAGUUUUAAAUGAUUAUAUUGAAAACGAAAGUUUUUCUUCUGAAUCAUUGAAAUUAGUUCUAGAAAUUAAUGAAUCUAUUAGUACUGUGGAAAAUGAAAAAGCAAAAUGUAUGUAUAACAAAAAUGACAUAAAUGAUUUAUAUGAAGACGAACAUGUUAAAAAAAAGUAUUUAAACGAAGGUGUUAUUUUUAAAGAUGAAAAUAAAGGAGAGGGGGUUGAAGAAAAUCAUAAUGAAACAAAAUUCGAAACCGAUAGUAUAAACAAACAGUUGAAUUUUAAUGAAAAAAAAAGAAACAUAUUUAUUAAUACUUUAAAGUGUAAACAUACAAGUCCAACUGUUACUUCAAAUACGGGUUUAAGCUCGAACAUAGGCUCGAACACAAGUGUGAACACAAGCUCGAACACAAGUGUGAACAUAAGCUCGAACACAAGUGUGAACAUAAGCUCGAAUUCAACAACGGGCGAAACCGAUUUAACCGACACGAAGAACAGUUUUAACAAUUAUUUGAUUUAUUUAUUAAAAAAAAAGGCAUAUGACAAAAUUGAACGGAUAGAAAAAAGAAAUUAUUUAAAUGAAAAUAAUACAACAUAUAGUUUAUUUAUUGAGUCAUACUUAAGUAAUCAUAAAUAUGAUAAAGUGUACAAAGUUUAUAAAAAAAUGAAAUUAAGAAAAAAUAUAACUAUCAACUAUUUGAAUGUGAAAAAUUUGAUACAUAGUUUUAAAAAAUGUGACAUAAACAAAGGAGAUAUAUUAAAUGAAUUACAAUGGAUAUAUAAAGGUUUUUUAAAUUUAUACUUUUCAAAAGAUUCUUAUUUUAUUUUAGUCAAAACUUUGUUAUAUAAACAUAUAUGUGAUUAUUUAAAAAAAAAGUGUGACAUGAAUCUAAUUAUAGAUAUAUUUAACAUUAAUGAACUUAUUAAAUAUUUUAUAAAAUUUAAAAGUUUUAUUAAUAUCAAAAAAUUAUAUUUUAUUCUACUGAAUUAUUCUUAUAUCAAAACAUAUAAAACGUAUUUAAUAUUGAUAAGGUUUUUUAACAAUAUAUAUUAUGAAAAGAAGGAAUUUAACAGACACACUGGGGAAGAGAGUCUUUUGUUAAAAGAAAAAGCAAUUCAAAAUAAACAAACAAUUCAAAAUGAAAAAACAAUU